rnacentral:tRNA from 2 species
GGUAAAAUGGCUGAGUUAAGCAUUAGACUGUAAAUCUAAAGACGGGGCAGAGCCCCUUUUACCA